rnacentral:rRNA from 1 species
GACGAACGCUGGCGGCGUGCUUAACACAUGCAAGUCGAACGGAAAGGCCCUGCUUUUGUGGGGUGCUCGAGUGGCGAACGGGUGAGUAACACGUGAGUAACCUGCCCUUGACUUUGGGAUAACUUCAGGAAACUGGGGCUAAUACCGGAUAGGAGCUCCUGCUGCAUGGUGGGGGUUGGAAAGUUUCGGCGGUUGGGGAUGGACUCGCGGCUUAUCAGCUUGUUGGUGGGGUAGUGGCUUACCCAGGCUUUGACGGGUAGCCGGCCUGAGAGGGUGACCGGCGACAUGGGGACUGAGAUACGGCGCAGACGCCUACGGGAGGCAGCAGUGGGGAAUAUUGCACAAUGGGCGGAAGCCUGAUGCAGCAACGCCGCGUGCGGGAUGACGGCCUUCGGGUUGUAAACCGCUUUCGCCUGUGACGAAGCGUGAGUGACGGUAAUGGGUAAAGAAGCACCGGCUAACUACGUG